rnacentral:rRNA from 1 species
GAUUGGAGCGGCCGAUGUCGGAUUAGCUAGUUGGUGGGGUAAAGGCCUACCAAGGCGACGAUCCGUAGCUGGUCUGAGAGGACGACCAGCCACACUGGAACUGAGACACGGUCCAGACUCCUACGGGAGGCAGCAGUGGGGAAUUUUGGACAAUGGGGGCAACCCUGAUCCAGCCAUUCCGCGUGAGUGAAGAAGGCCUUCGGGUUGUAAAGCUCUUUCGGCAGGAACGAAACGGU